UCCCUGGUGUCUCAGAUGGUGAAGAAUCUGCCUACAAUGCAGGAGACUCAGGUUUGAUCCCUGGAUUGGGAA
rnacentral:tRNA from 1 species